UACGUAGGGUGCAAGCGUUGUCCGGAAUUAUUGGGCGUAAAGCGCACGUAGGCGGUUUGUUAAGUCGGAUGUGAAAUCCCUCGGCUCAACUGAGGAAGUGCAUCCGAAACUGGCAAGCUUGAGUACGAAAGAGGGUCGCGGAAUUCCCGGUGUAGAGGUGAAAUUCGUAGAUAUCUGGAGGAACACCGGUGGCGAAGGCGGCAUCCUGGACCAACACUGACGCUGAGGAGCGAAAGCCAGGGGAGCAAACGGG
rnacentral:rRNA from 1 species